rnacentral:rRNA from 1 species
GCAAGUCGAACGAAUGUCAGUUUUGUAGCAAUACCGAGCUGGCGGAAGUGGCGAAAGGGGCAGUAAUGCAUGGGUAACCUACCUUGGGGAUGGGGAUAGCCGUUCUAACGAGCGGGUAAUACCCAGAGAUUCAGCGGGAGGGCAUCCUUCUGUUGGGAAAUGAAUUUCGCCUCGAGAGGGGCCCAUGUGCUAUUAGCUAGUUGGCGGGGUAACGGCCCACCAAGGCUAAGAUGGCUAGCGGGUGUGAGAGCACGACCCGCGCCACUGGCACUGAGACACUGGCCAGACACCUACGGGUGGCUGCAGUCGAGGAUCUUCGUCAAUGGGCGCAAGCCUGAACGAGCGACGCCGCGUGCGCGAUGAAGGCCUUCGGGUUGUAAAGCGCGAAAGUGGGGAGAAAGCCGAAAGGUUGAUCAAUCCACAGUAAGGACGGGCUAAGUUCGUGCCAGCAGCCGCGGUAAGACGAACUGUCCUAACGUUGUUCGGAAUCACUGGGCUUAAAGGGCGCGUAGGCGGUCGAUCAAGUCAGGGGUGAAAUCCUGCAGCUUAACUGGAGAAGUGCCUCUGAUACUGAUCGUCUGGAGGGAGAUAGGGGUGUGUGGAACUUCCAGUGGAGCGGUGAAAUGCGUU